CUUACCAAUCACUAUUUUUUCUUGAAGGCAUAAAAGAGUUGUUUCAUUAUUAAGAUAUUUAAUUAACCCAGAACCAGAAGAUAAAAAUGGCUUGUCAGAUUUACUUCUAAUGGCUUCUCGACAGGGCACAAAGAAAUUUGCCGAAUGGACGAUUUUGAAACUUUCUCCAAAUGAAAUUCAAAAUAUGGAAACAGAAAAUCAUACUCCAGUGGUAGCAACAUCAGACCAUGAGAUACAAGAUAAUGCUAAUUUCAAAGCAAAGAAUAGUGACCUAAUGUCCAAGUACAUGAAAGAACCAAAAAAAUUACAAUUACCUAAGAAAGGUUUACGGUGUUUUAACAUAAACACUGAAUUAAAUACAUAAAACA
rnacentral:lncRNA from 1 species